rnacentral:misc_RNA from 1 species
CUCCCAGCAUCUCCCAAGCCUCAGUGGUAAUUCAGCAGCGUGAGAGGGAGGACGUUCACCCAGCACGAUGAAGACCAUGAGGCGGACCGAGGUCCUCCUAGUUGGGUUAUUAUUUCUACUGGUUCCUGUGCUAUCUACAGAUUUGGUAGCUGUGUACAAACAUGACAUUCUCUUACUUCGGGAUGUAGACAAAAUUACCCCUGAAUUGCCUCUCCAAUGGAACAAACAUGUUCUUCCCCUUCCAAAGGGCAUGUCAUACCCAGUGGGUCUAACUCAAGACAUCGAGAAUAAUCGGCUUUUUGUGGCUGAUGCAGUGCAUGAGGAUACCAAGAUUUUUUCACUUACACUUGAUUCUGACUUUAAUGUGAAGGCCAUGCAUUCAGUACUCAAAAAUUCUAGUCUAAUAGUAAUGGAAGGUAUGUCGUAUGAUCCUGUAUCACAUCAGCUAUACUGGACUGACAGCACCAAUCAUGGUAUUUUCAAGACUUUAAUUCCAAGUGAGCUAAAAGAAACAAAUUCAUUAGAGCCCAAACUUUUGGAAAGACAUGGAAAUGUUACUGGACCUCAUGGGGUUACAGUUGAUUACUGUAAUCAAUUGUUGUAUUGGAGCAAUAUAAACAAACUGGGAAGAGUACCAAGCACUAUACAGAUGGUUGAUUUGAGUGAAAAUAUACACAAGAUCAUUCAGCAGGAUAAUGAAAACAAUAUUUAUUAUCAGGGCUUAACCUAUGAUGUCACACGAGGAGCACUCAUUUGGGGAGAGACCAUUGGAAAUAACUAUACUGAAAGCAACUGUCGCAUUGUCAGUACUCCUACAAGAGAAAUGGAAUACCAUGAGCUGUUGAACUUGACAAACUGUUUUCCAUUUUCUUUAGCAGUUGAUGAAGAAUACAUUUACUGGGCAGAUUGGGCCCGACAGGGUAUCAUGCGGGCAUCGUUAAACAACCGUAGUGAUGUUGUAAAGCUAGUUCAUACUCCUGCCAUUAAAACUGCCUUUGGUUGGCAUCAUGGUGCUUAUGGUCUUUCCUUGUUAAGUAAUCCUGCAAAAAAAUUUACUAUGGAUUUAUGUAAAGGAGAGAAGAGUUUCCAGGGAAAAUUAGAUAUGAAAGCCCAAGAACCUGAGAUAAAAAACCCGGUCACCAAACCUCCACAUUUAGAAUCUGCCACAGAGGAAAUUACGAAGGAGACCAGUGUAAGCUCAGUGUUAACAGUUUCAAGAUUAAAGGAUUCACUGCAAGGGGAAACAGAAAUGACAACAGAUCAGAUUGUUAUGAAGAAUGACUCGGAAUCAGUGCAGCUUGGAACUGAAGAGGAAACUCCUCACAGUUUUGCCACAUCUCUUCAAGAAAACAAAAUGAUGGUUCAAGCAGAAAUGCGCAAUGAAACAAAGUUACUUAUAAUCAUAAUGGUGCUGGCUGUGUUCUGCGCAUUGUUUAUGUUUUCUACAGUCUUCCUUUUUGUCAAGUAUUUUUGCAAGAGAAGCCCAGAAAGAUGCAAACCAUCAUCACCCACAGCCAUUAAUCAUAAACAAGCAGUGCCUGCACAACUCAUUCGACAAGUGAAACGAUUUGGCCCUAAGAAGCGAUAUGGUUCUGGAAAUAAAUCCGGAUUUAUUGGUACAUCACCAUGCCCAGAGUUGUCCAGUAGUGAUGGUGUGAGCAUCAAUAUUGAAGAUUGUUGUCAGAUGACUAUGUGUGAAACUCCUUGCUAUACCUCUGUGAAACGAGAGGGGAAAGGAUACAAGGCUGCAGAGAAACACAACAGAUAUGAAGAUAAAAGGGGUCUCUUAGAUGAUUGUGAAGACAUCUGAAAUCUCUAAUACAUUUGAACAAUAAGCUGCACUUCUCGGUAACAGAACAGGAGAGGCCAUCUACAAUCUACUAACAUUUCCCAGAAAGAAUUUUGUUUGAGCCAUUGGGUUUCUGACAACCCCCCAGGCCAUUUUUAGGGGGAAGUUGGGGUGGAGAAAUGUGAAGACCUGCAACCCCUGUAGUGCAGAUAGUAUACAUGUUUGCUACUUCCCUUACCAAGAGAGUAGUGUAUUGGAAUUCAAGUACACUUGGGUAAGUACAAAUCCAUCCUAACACACCUUUGGCGCUGACUUAAAACAAUUAUGCAGUCUUCAUUUUACUAUUGCAAAUGAUAGAAAAAUAAUUUUUGAACAAUUUUGUGUAAAAAUGUUAAUUAUUUGAUGUGCACUCAUUACACUGAUCAAAAUGGACCAAUAAGUCCAAAGUUAAACUUAAGUGAUCAGUGGAUCACUUAAAAUCAGCCAGUCUUGGUAUAAAAAUUGAUAACUAAUUAUUUACACAUUUUUCAUUUUGACUCUCAUAUAAAAUGAUAAUUGGGAAAGAAUUUGGUGCCAGAUUUCUAUACUGUAUUGUGAAUACAAUAUAUUGGGCCCAAAAAUGUAAAAUUAUAAUAGAACUAUUCUCACCAAGGGUGGUGAGGUGUAAAAGAGGGGGACAAGGUGUGGUGGGAAGCAUUUGACUGGGAGCCGACUCUUCCUUACACCACCAGUGUAACACCACAGGCAAUGAGGUGGUUGUGCCUACACCACCUGUGUCACGUCAAUUUUCUGCUCAACGUAAAUAUACUUCCACUUUUUUUUUUAUUACCUUCAACACCAUGUGUGCUGCUGUAAGGUAUCUUGUUAACAAUAAAGGCAAGUACAGUGUAGAUAAUGCACUGUACUUGCCUUUAGGUACAUUGUACUUAAUAAUAUUGUACAGUGUACUGCUCAGCCAAGCAACUCUAUUGUUUAAAGGCAUAGAAUGACUGUGGCUUUGGUACACUUUCACAUCUGUUUUAGAAAUUUUGUGACUGUUUGGCGUUAUUAUUGUGUGAUAUUUGUCAAAUAAUGUUAUGUCUUAUCAAUAUUUGGAUUUAGAACAAAUUCAUUUAGGUAUGAAUGAGCUGCAGUAACCUGCAGUGCAAUAGUAUUAUCUUUCGUCUGUUUUGUGUAUAUGAUUUCUUCAUAUUAUUAUUUGAUAAUACAUUAUGAAAAAU